UAAAAUGAGAGUUUGAUCCUGGCUCAGGACGAACGCUGGCGGCGUGCCUAAUACAUGCAAGUCGAACGAAACUUUCUUACACCGAAUGCUUGCAUUCACCGUAAGAAGCUGAGUGGCGGACGGGUGAGUAACACGUGGGUAACCUGCCUAAAAGAAGGGGAUAACACUUGGAAACAGGUGCUAAUACCGUAUAUCUCUAAGGAUCGCAUGAUCCUUAGAUGAAAGAUGGUUCUGCUAUCGCUUUUAGAUGGACCCGCGGCGUAUUAACUAGUUGGUGGGGUAACGGCCUACCAAGGUGAUGAUACGUAGCCGAACUGAGAGGUUGAUCGGCCACAUUGGGACUGAGACACGGCCCAAACUCCUACGGGAGGCAGCAGUAGGGAAUCUUCCACAAUGGACGCAAGUCUGAUGGAGCAACGCCGCGUGAGUGAAGAAGGUCUUCGGAUCGUAAAACUCUGUUGUUAGAGAAGAACACGAGUGAGAGUAACUGUUCAUUCGAUGACGGUAUCUAACCAGCAAGUCACGGCUAACUACGUGCCAGCAGCCGCGGUAAUACGUAGGUGGCAAGCGUUGUCCGGAUUUAUUGGGCGUAAAGGGAACGCAGGCGGUCUUUUAAGUCUGAUGUGAAAGCCUUCGGCUUAACCGGAGUAGUGCAUUGGAAACUGGAAGACUUGAGUGCAGAAGAGGAGAGUGGAACUCCAUGUGUAGCGGUGAAAUGCGUAGAUAUAUGGAAGAACACCAGUGGCGAAAGCGGCUCUCUGGUCUGUAACUGACGCUGAGGUUCGAAAGCGUGGGUAGCAAACAGGAUUAGAUACCCUGGUAGUCCACGCCGUAAACGAUGAAUGCUAGGUGUUGGAGGGUUUCCGCCCUUCAGUGCCGCAGCUAACGCAAUAAGCAUUCCGCCUGGGGAGUACGACCGCAAGGUUGAAACUCAAAGGAAUUGACGGGGGCCCGCACAAGCGGUGGAGCAUGUGGUUUAAUUCGAAGCAACGCGAAGAACCUUACCAGGUCUUGACAUCCUUUGACCACCUAAGAGAUUAGGCUUUCCCUUCGGGGACAAAGUGACAGGUGGUGCAUGGCUGUCGUCAGCUCGUGUCGUGAGAUGUUGGGUUAAGUCCCGCAACGAGCGCAACCCUUGUUGUCAGUUGCCAGCAUUAAGUUGGGCACUCUGGCGAGACUGCCGGUGACAAACCGGAGGAAGGUGGGGACGACGUCAAGUCAUCAUGCCCCUUAUGACCUGGGCUACACACGUGCUACAAUGGACGGUACAACGAGUCGCGAGACCGCGAGGUUUAGCUAAUCUCUUAAAGCCGUUCUCAGUUCGGAUUGUAGGCUGCAACUCGCCUACAUGAAGUCGGAAUCGCUAGUAAUCGCGAAUCAGCAUGUCGCGGUGAAUACGUUCCCGGGCCUUGUACACACCGCCCGUCACACCAUGAGAGUUUGUAACACCCAAAGCCGGUGGGGUAACCGCAAGGAGCCAGCCGUCUAAGGUGGGACAGAUGAUUGGGGUGAAGUCGUAACAAGGUAGCCGUAGGAGAACCUGCGGCUGGAUCACCUCCUUUCUAAGGAA
rnacentral:rRNA from 1 species